CUAAUAGUGUGGUAUCUUGUUUUGUUUGGGGCACUUUCUUCCCUUUUAUUUUCAUGUUGCUUGUGUGUCUCUCUUUCUAACUGUGUGUAUCUGAGAUGUUACCGUUUUUAUCAUAUAUGCUUACAGUGCCCCUGUAGAUUUCUUUCCUCUCCUUUGAGGGGAAGGACAAUAGAUCCCAACAUAAACAAAAUACCACCUAAAAACAAAUAGUUGUUAUUAAGACGUUUACAAUUUAGUCACAAUAUACAGAAAUGGUGAAUUCAAUUAUUAUCUACAAUAUAUUCUGUAGGUUUGUAAUAGGGUUUACAGUUUCUUAUGGUGGGCAAAGAAUUGGGGUGAGAAAUAUAUUCUGAGGAGGUGUAAGAUGAGGAUAUGGAGUUAUUAGAAAGUAUGAAAUAGGAAUCUAAAUUAAAGAAGGUUAGUAGCAGGAGAAUAGAGAAGUAGUAAUUUUGGGUAGACAAGUAAGAGGGAAGACAAUAUAGUACACACCAAACACACAUAUCUAUUAAGAAAAAUUAAAAAUGUUAAAAUAGUAAAAAUUGGUGAGAAGAAGAAAGAAAGGAAAAAAAGAAUAUACAACACAACUGUAAUAUACUAUUCAGUUGUCCCAGUCCUCAAUAUCCUAAUUCAUUUCAAGUACUUGGUUUCACUUAUGUUGGGGAUGUGAAGGCUGAAGAAUAAAGAGGGAGAAGAAAGCAAAAAAUAUAUAUAUGGGACAAAUAAGGAUGGUUUUGGUUGGAGAUCAGUAUCCUGCUUCCCUUCUCAUUGAGUAGUUGGGGUUGUCUAUUCUUAGUUGGUAUCUCUGCUCUCAGGAUGGUGGGGGUUACCAGGUUGUGAGAGUUGGUCUUGGGUGCAGGACACCUGGAUGUAGGGUAUGGCACCUGUCAGUGCCGGUGGGAGACUGCACCUCAAGGAUCUCCUUUGGGGUCUGCUCCUGUAAUGUGGGCCCUAGGUCUUAUCUCCUCAUCUCACCUGUAGACCUCACAGUUCCUGGCCUCUAAAUUAGCUUCUAAAGUGUAUCUCCCUCAUCCUCUCCCUUUCUACUUCCUAAUAAGGAACCUUCCUCUCUGGGGGUCUUGUAUGUUUCACUCUGGUGGCUGUGCACCUGUCCUGAAGGGCUAUUUAGAAUUGGGCAGUCACUCUGCUGAGUUAGCACUGCUAAGACGGAGGGAAAUGAGAAAACUAUGGGUACCUAGUUAUCCAAUGUUUCAAAUUGGUGGUUGUCAUCAAACUAAAGAUGGUGAUGAAGGUGACCCAAGAUGGAGGCAGCUGCUAUCAGGGUGGGGUUUCCGGUUGGGUGGUGGUAGUGAGUGAUGGCAUUGUGCAAUGCGUUCAGAGAUGAGCUCUGUGGAAUGCAGUGUUGAGGCUGUCGGCUUUCUUAAGAGCCUAUGAUGUCCCCAGGUGCAGACAAGCUAGUGUUAGUAGGGGACUAUGGUAGUAGCUGCAGAGUUCCAAGAUGGAAUCCACUGGGGGAGGCCCACAUUGGUGGAUGGGGGUCCACGCAGGUGUGGCAGCCAGAGAUCCUGAAUAUGGGUAGUUGCUGAGUGUCCUUCAUGGGAGCGGUGUCUGGGAAUUCUGCCCCGGUGCUGAUGCCAGUGGUCCCACUGAGGCACCCAGGAGACUUGCGUGGAUAAGUAGUCUAGAGCUGGAAGUCCUUUUCUAACACUUAGG
rnacentral:lncRNA from 1 species